UGAAUUUACUUAAAAUUUAUGAUUUACUAUUUUGUGAUUAGGUUAAUCUGAAUGUAGUGCAGUAGAUUUGUAUGUAUAUGUUUAUGAAUUGAACGAUUAUUAUUGUGGUAAAUGUUGUUAAAUGUGAUGGGAACCGUGUAGGUUGAAAUGGUGAGCUUAUUAAUGAUAUUACAGUACCAGGGGUUGUAGCAAUUAACACCAUCUUAUGGGAGUCGAAGAAUCAACAGCAGGUGAAGCAUUUAUACAUGUGGUAAGUUUUUCAAAUUCUGGAAAGAAAAUACAGUUAACUGCAGUGUUUGAGGGUAGCAACCAUGUACCUCCACACUAUCAGCACCUGUCAUGAUGAUGACGUUGAUGCACCAGGGCCUACAAAGAAACUCAAGGUUAAUGAACAAGAGGCGUUGGAAGGUGGUCAUGAAAUGAUGUCCACUCAGAAAGUGGCUGCUUUUGAGGUCAAUCUUUAAGAAGUUGAACUUUAUUCCCUGGUAGAACUUUGUAAUCUAUUACAGCUGAAUAGUUUAUCUGCUGAUUUACUUUAUUGUUACGGGUUUAUGACUUCCUUUCCUAAGUAUAUGAUGUAAAAUAUAAUAUUCUGGUGCAUGAUGUUUGAACUUCUUUUGAAAUCUACAGUUUCAUGUAUUAAGACUGGAGGUUUUAAAUAUUAUCAUGUGCAAUAGAAAGUUUGGUGUCACUAAAAAGGAGCUGACCUGACCCAUUAACGCAACAAAACUUUAACCCGACCCAUCAUCUACAAUUUGGUGUGAUUUAAAAUAAAGUUUUGUUUUUUUUCUUUUUUCAAAACUGGAGGUGUAUGCUUUAAAUUGUUUUCUUGGUUUAGGGUUUCGAAAUAGUUGGGUAGUUUCUGCUUCACCAGAAGAAGGUUGACCUGAUUAUUCUUUUUCUGGAAGCUAAUUAACUAUGUAUGUGUAUGCUACACUUCUGAUUCUAAUAGUGUGAGAGAUUGGGCAUUGCUUUCAGGUAUAUCUUUGCACCCUCCUUGUAUGUGUCAUUGAUAUGCACUACUUAGUUUUUCUAUGGUUUGUCCAGAAGAAAAUCGAUGUUUCAUAUCAGUUCAAUUUGCUGUAUGAAGUCAGGCUGUCAUCUUGCACGAUGGUGCCACCUGUCAGAAUUAGAAAAGAGGAUUUUGAUGGGGCUACAUAUUUUGUCUCAAAGGGUUAUGAGAUGAUGCUUAUCGCAUGAGACCUCAUCAGGAGAUACCAAUAUCUGAAUCAUUAAAAGAUAGGAUCAUGGAGAGGAGUCACAAGAAUGAUGAAAGAUGGUGAUGUAGAAGUGAGAUGAUACUUACAUCGGGCAUGGUGUUAAUUACAGCUCGAUAAAUCUGCUACCUAGCCCACAUACAGUUGUUGCCUGGAUUCAGUUGUUCCGCUCGGUUGACAAAUAGGUUCAUAGCAGUACACUUGACUAGAAGGUUACUGGAAACAUAGUUGUUUGCAUUGAUGUAGCCACUCAUUUGGUUGAGUUACAACACAGUGCAACAAAGUAGUAUUUUUGUGCUGGUGGGUACAUUCUGCAGUGUCUGGUAUUGUUAAAGUAGCUAAGGAAUGGGAAACAUUCACUACAUUUGUUGUUAAUGUGCACAACUGAUUUCUACUCUUAAACGGCAGCUUAGAUAAGAGACUAUGCUUGAAGGUAAGUUGUUGGUGUUGGAGAAUGAUGCUGAUAAGGAUCUAAUUAAGGACUCUGUGUGUUCAUUUUAGGCCAUGUAAAAGCUGAUGAAGGGUAGGUCCAAGAAGGAUAUCAUUAACGGUGCAUGAUUAUUUGAGCUGUGUGAUUAUAUUAUUCUGGUGAUGGGGUGUGCGGCUGUCUCAAAAAAAUAGAGAAUCGCCUGUGAUGUCAAUAUUAGUGAUGGUUUCCAUGUCGAGUUAGUUCCCCGUUACUUUUUCAUAUUUUGACCCAUAUUGUUGCAGAUUCUUCUUGUAUGUACCGGUGGAUAUUCUGAAACACUUUAACCCCACUCAUGUGGUUAAAAUUUGUAUUAUCUGCUAAAACUAAGAACCUAACCUUCAGAGUGUAUUGAUCUCAAGAUAGAGAUGUUGGGGGAGUAACUUUAAUGGAAUUCAAUUCAGCCCACCAUGACUCCUCCAAUCGAUCGUAAGCGUAAAGCAAUGGUCCAGCAACAUCUGAUAUGAUGCUUGCAUAUGUGGAUUGUUUACUUGGUGGAGAUGAGAAGAGAGAUGACCUUCCUCCUCCACUUCAUUAGAGAUUUCCCUAUCUUUAGUUUUUGAAGGAGAUCGAAGCUACAUGGCUCCUUUUGUUCUUCAUAGUGACAAUAUUAUAACCAGCCUUGGGUGGAUAUAUGCUAAAACACUUUGCCCCCAUUCAUGUGGUUAAAAUUUGUAUUUCCGCUAAAAGUAAGGACCUACUCUCUAGAGUAUAUUCAUCUCAAAAUGGGGAUGUUGGUGGAGUAACUCUAAGUCCACCCAUGACUCCUUCAAGUAAGCAUAAAGCAAUGGUUAGUCUUUUGUAUUUGAUAAAUGUUUGGCUG